UGAAGGUCAAACCAAAAAGGUGCACAUCUAAGCUACUGUUGGGCAUGUAAUCGUAGACAAGAAGCAGUUCCUUUGCUUCCCAACAACAUCCCAGAAGUUUGACAAGAUUGUUGUGUUGCAGUUUGGCAAUCAAGGUGAUUUCAGCCUUGAACUCUUGUAGUCCUUGACCAGAGUUUUCUGAAAGCCUCUUAACUGCAAUUCUGGUUCCAUCCACUAGAAUACCCUGGAAGUAGAUUUCAUAAGUAAGAGCGCUGGAGAUUACAUUGAAAAGACACAAUUGUCUUGUGCUCAAUUAUAAUAAAGUAAUGACUACUUGUUUGGUAGAAGAGCGCGUACAAUGCUAAUCCCACUUUCUACAUUAUUUUGGUCUCAUUUUCAAGGCAUGUAAGCAAAAUGUACUUUGCAAGAAAGAUUGAUGAUUUGCUCCAUUGCAAUUCCAUUUUAAUGAAUCCCAAUUGUACUACCUUUCUCCAUGUUUGGCAAGAAAACAAGAACUUGAACUUUUAAACAAUCACGUAAACGUGCCACCUGCCACGAGUAUGAUAUUAUACUACUAUCCUUCAAAAAAAAAAAAAUACUAAUAUACUAAAAUUAGACUGGAGUCGGGAAGUCUGGGCUUGGUGGUGCACUCCCUCUAUGUUUGCUGCUCUCCAACGCUACCUUGGUACCUGAUCUAUAUAGCUCGCUGUAAACUUAAUUCUCAGGGAGUGCUGGUUGGUAGUUGUCUACUUGCAGUUUUAUGCAGGGGCUCUAAGCCUCUAACAAGCAUCUACCAGAGAACAUGUUCAAUGUUCCACGACAUAUGUAUUAGGGUAUUAGUCUUCGUGAUUAUACCUUGUACACUGGGCCAAAUCCCCCUUCUCCAAGCUUGUUUUCCCCAGAGAACUGUUGUGUAGCUCUCCGAAUGAGAUCUAAACGGAUCAGUGGAAAACUUUUAGGGUCCACUUGUAUUCUUCCAUCAUAAUCUCGAGGUGAGUUGUUAUCACCAAGUCUCUCCUCUGCAAGGUCAAGCAGCUGAAUUUCUGGGCUGAUCUCUUCAUUUUCUGCAAGACAAAUAGCUGUAAACAACAGUUGAAGAUAAAAAAAAUUUAAAUUUUUUAAUCUUAUGAUAA